rnacentral:misc_RNA from 1 species
GUUUGACCCUUUUUUUUUUCACUACAAAUCAUUGGAUAUACAAUAUUGUAAUGAUGUUUAGUUCGAUCCUUGAUUAAUGUUGAUUUUAGUCAUUUUGCUAAUGGUCUAAAAAAUACAUGGCACCAUUGGCUAAUUUGGUCCGUUUCAGACUGAUUCAAUCCGAUUUCAUUAAGCUGUUUCCGAUUUCAGAAUGAUUCCCGAUCCUUUUAUCUGAUAUAUUCUUUCUGAUUACGUUCAGAGGUUUUCACUAAAUGAAUUUCUUGCUGCUCACUGAUUUUUCUUUUAGGUCUUGUAUUUCCUAGAUUAAAUCUAUUUCUAGACUGCCAUUAUUUUUGGUUCUCUGUUCAUUUUGGCUGUGUCUUAUUUUAUCUCAUUUCUUUGUUGGCAUUGUUGCAGGCUUUAUCUAAAACAUUGACAGU